CUCUUAACGGUUUCGAAAGUUGGCACUUUUAACAUCGAUUAACGGUUUGCUAAACUUGACGUCAUUUGUACCGUCACCACUAGCUGGACUAGCUGGGACCAUUACUUAAUGGAUCACUGGAAUACGACCUGGGAAACUCUCCGGCCUGUCAGCUGUUGUAAGAGCAGUCGACAGUCUGAUGGUCAAAGUUGGAGUUUGUAAAAAUUAACGAGCAGCAAUAUCAUCCAACAACAGCAAGACCGUGGUGGAUACAGCGCCAGUACAUACAUAUACGAUAUCGACAAGCACCAAUGGCGCUUGCAUCGAUAAAAAUAAUCUUGCUCACUUGCAUUGUUUGUACUUGCACUCAUUGAGUAUAGGUACGUUCCGGGUCGAAGGGUUCCAGACAAUCUGACCAUGAAGAAAUAUAAUCGCGAUCAGCUAUUGAAGAUGAAGAAGAACGCCCCGAACGUGAAGGUCCAAUAGCAUCAGCAAUCAUUCAUUGAUUCGGGUAACCAAUGCAGCAAAUAUCAACGGCAGCGUAAUUCCUUCUGUUCUCGUAUUAAAUAUCAUAAAACAUAUUAAAUAAAUUAAAUUAAAAGUUAUAAUAUAUUCCAACUAAA